UACGGGGGGAGCAAGCGUUGUUCGGAUUUACUGGGCGUAAAGGGCGCGUAGGCGGCGUGACAAGUCACUUGUGAAAUCUCCGAGCUUAACUCGGAACGGUCAAGUGAUACUGUCGUGCUAGAGUACAGAAGGGGCAACUGGAAUUCUCGGUGUAGCGGUGAAAUGCGCAGAUAUCAGGAGGAAUACCAGCGGCGAAGGCGGCGCUCUGGGCCGGUACUGACGCUGAGGAGCGAAAGCGUGGGUAGCAAACAGG
rnacentral:rRNA from 1 species